CAUAACCUAAAAGAAGUCAAACAACCUGAUUAUUUUAGUAUUAUUCAUUGUAAUUAUCAUUAAAAUACUCAUGACUACCUCGAAUUUAUAAAGUUAGUGUUGUGAAAGUUAACGCCCUGCCCAAGGGCGUGCGUGGAGUGUAUUUUUGUGCAAUACAAAGUAAAUACAAACGGCAAGCUGUGGGGAUCGGGGGCCUUUUUUUUGCCGCCGCAGGGGAUGUACUAUCCUGUGAGUAACGGCAAUGUCAUCGAUACGGGGACACCUACACUGCUGCACAUGGUGGGGACGGGCAUGGCGGCCCCGUUCCCUGCGGCGGCGGCGGCUGCGGCCGCAGCUGCACAUCAGUUCGCAGCCAACGGCGAUGCCCUUGCCGGCGUAAAAGCAGAGGCCAGUGGACCCACCGCGCCAACACAAUCCCCACUGGUCAAGAGUGAAGGCCCCCCUGCUCCUGCGCCUCUCCCGCCUGCCAACUUUUCACCUCAACCACCGCAACAAUCACAUGCAGCGAACUCCAUAGAAAAUCAAAAUAAUAACAACUCACAAAGUGAAGGAGAAUCGAAUGAAGAGAACACUCCAGUUAGCGUAGCGGUAGCGGUAGCGGCACAGCAGCAAGCGGCAGCAGUGGUGGCACAGCAGGCAGCGGCGGCUCAUGCGGCCGCCGCCGCGGUCAGUGCCGCUGUCGCCGCAGGCGCCAAUGCUGCCACUGCCACGCCAGACAAAACCCUUGUGCCUGUCUCACAAGCCUCUCAACCGAAACGGUUGCAUGUUUCCAACAUACCAUUCAGAUUUAGAGAUCCAGAUCUCAGAAAUAUGUUUGGGCAAUAUGGCACAAUACUUGAUGUAGAAAUUAUCUUCAAUGAACGAGGCUCGAAGGGAUUCGGUUUUGUAACAUUCGCAAAUAGUGGUGAUGCGGAGCGAGCACGAGAGCGUCUUCACGGCACCGUGGUUGAGGGCAGAAAGAUAGAGGUUAAUAAUGCGACUGCGAGAGUACAGACGAAGAAACCUCCAGCGGUACCCAACGUGUGUGUCCAAUGGCCCGAAGCGUCCGCGUCCGCGGCCGCGCUGCGCGGAGCCAGCGUAGUGCGCGGUCGCAGCCCGCGCCCGCCCCCGCCCCCGCACGCACCGCACUCGCCCCACGCGCACCUCCCGCACGCCGCCACCCUCCUGCCCCGCGCCGCGCCAUUCGCCGCCUACGCCCAUGUUUAUUACGACCCGUUCUUAGCUGCGGCUGCUACGGCCGACUCCAACUACAGACUUCAGGCCGCGAAGCCGGCAGCCGAGGCAGCAGCUACCGCAGCUGCGAUGGCCGGUCCGCUGCUAAAGUCGCCGCUAACGACAGCACAGCACGCAGCGGCGGCAGCGGCAGCGGCUAACUACGGCGCCGCCGCACGCGCAGCUGCCGCCGCCGCCAACGCCGCGCCCGCGCCCACCGCGCUCACGCCGCUCGCCGCUGCGUAUGGCAGAGAGUACGCUGACCCUUAUCUAGGUCACGGCAUAGGACCUGUCACUGGUUACGGGACUGCCGUAUACAGAAGUGGCUACAACAGAUUUGCGCCAUACUAAGCCAGUGGAACAAAGAAACGAUUUUAUUCGAAUAUGGAACAAACUACCUUCGCCUCCUUCUUAACAUGAACAUGACAAUGAACUCUCUUUGUAAACGUACAAACAUACUUCGUAACUUAAGGCGUCAGUAAUAGUGCUAGCCGACUACUGUAUAAGUAAGCUUGGUAGCAUAGAUAUCAGUGAGGAGCCGGCCGCGAUUGGCCCCGGCUCGGGAGUCCAAAACGUUCCCGCGGGAAGUGCGGGCGUCCGGAACUUAUGAAUACCAAAGUCAUUAAAAUUUCUAACUGAAAUAAUUAAGUUGAACUGUAAUGUAAAUUAUUUGUGUAAUGCAUAUACAAGUGCGAGCAGCUAAGUAAGCGCAAUCAUUCUAUUUAGAUAUUUUAAGAAGAACUAUUUUACUAAUACCUACUCCUACAUCUCAGAUACCUACGAUAUUGUCUAGUGUAGUUCUUACACUGGUAUUAUUGACAAUAGAAGUGUUUCGUGUACCUAACGGUAUUUAGUGAGCUUUGCACUUGCAUAUCAUAGAGAAAUUGUAAAUACUGAAGCCCAAACAUUUUACUCAUUUCUAUGUACUGUUUUUAUUUAAUUUUUUUUUAUGAAGUUACUAACGGGUAACUCCACACGAAUGUCAUCCCAGACUAGUUUCAAUCUAUUUCGAUUUCCCUAACUAACCACCGAUAGUUGAGGUGCAUAGAUACCUGCACUAUCCAAGCAAAUAGACAAAAUAGAUACUUUAGUUUUGAAUCUCUAAGUACAUUUCCGAUGUAUCGGUUUAGAUUUAAAAGUUUGGUGGUGCGAAUUUAAUGUGGUGCCAUUUGUUUGGUUGUAUUUUACAAAUAUAUUUUUCUUACAAAGUUACCUUCUAACCUACUUUUUGAAAGAUUAAUUUUAUAUGACUUCAUAGCUCUAGGAUUUGUUCGUCUACCACCUAUGGAGGUACCGCAAACGAGCGUUACUCUAUUUCAUGUUCACACGUAGGUUAAGCUUCAAGCUUGCACGGAUACGGCCGAUGAUCGCAUCGAAGCCCACGUUGUGGAAGGCCAAAAUUCACAAUAACAGUUUAGCAAGAGUUUCUCAAUUUCUGUACUGUGUACGUUUGCUUUCCAAAUUUGGUUGAAUUUACUUUCGCGAAAUUAUUAUUGUAAAACGCUAGCGUGUCUAAUAUUUUACUGAAUUUUAGUAGUAACGCUUUAGAAGUAGAUGUAUAAGAGAAGAAGGGAACUCCAUUGAGUUCUUACAUAUCAUUGAGAUUUCUCUUUGUAAUUAUGUUUGAUACUAUUGUUUCGUAACGGUGUCUAAUUUUACAGAGCUGUGUCAAACUUUUAACUAAAUAGCUUUUAUUUUACGAACAAACACGCGUACGGGUCCAACCCUUUUAGACGUCGUAAACUUUAGAUCUAAUAAUGUUGGCAUUAGGAUUGUAAAGUAUUGUAUUUUCUCUUUUAAGUCUAUUAAAUGCAAGUUUGUAUAUCUAAGUACAUAAGAAAGUACAUGUGAUUUGGUGAUUUUAUUUUUAGUGUUACUCUGCCUGAAAUUGUAACGGAGUCACAAAGUAUUGCCGUUAAUAAUGAACAAAGUAAAUACAAAUAACUUUGUUAUCCAACUUUUCAGUUGCAUUUUGCUAUUAGGUUCUGCAUCAAGCAUGAAUAUGCGAUUUGUGUCGAGACUUAGGUGUCAUCUCCCAAUUGUACAUGAUCUGAUUUUAUUGUAGUUAGUAAUUCAAUGGAGCCCUAUGAAUUAUAAUAGUGUUGUUGCCAACACAAGUCUACCCUGCCAUUAUCUAAAGGUACGGAAAGAAUCAAUGUUUUCGUGUUAUUUUUAACAUUUAUACAUGAUUUCAACGAUAAUCAAAUCACGUCAAAUCGCAAUGAAGUUUUGUAUUGUAUUAAUAACUUCAAAUCGUAGGCCAAAUUGUUAUUACUUGGAGAAAAAUCAGAAUUUAAAUGACAUAUCCGACAAAAUGGUUAGUGUGCUACAAUAAGAUUUGAAAAAAAAAAACAACAUCAAGAACAAUGUAUUAUAAUGAUCAUUAAAUUAUAAGAAUAAUGUGUAUUUUAUAACGCAAUUUGUUUCUCAGUUUUUAAGAGAAGCUGAAUUUUCUUUUUAUACUGUAAUUCUCGUUUCUUUAUGCUGUGCACAAAUUAUAUGAUCGAUGGCUUCGACUAUGUAAUCAUUAGGUCUAAAACGAAUUGUUAAAUUGUGCAUAAUAAGAUGUCAUAUCAGUAGUGUUGUUAGCGGUAGUGUAAAUGCUAACAGCACACGAGGAAAAAUGAUUGCUGUUAUAAAUGUGAGCUCUGGACGCGACACCCGCCAUCGCUGCUCUACCGACAAAACCUGCUGAGUAGACAAUUGAUCCUUGACAAGUUUACAUUGUAUCAAAGAAUCUAUCUCAGAAUUCUCCUAUAAUACUGUUCUGUUUGUUAAUUACAUUAUUGACAAUUAAUUGACCUUGAAUAUUUUAUGGGUGAAUAGCGGAUGGUGUGUCCUAGCCCUGUUGCCAACUGUAAAUAGUGUUAUCGGCGCAAGUUGCGCGUAUAAUUUGAACCCUCGGGUUUAUAUUGUUAAUGUAGCCAGAGUUAAUAAGUAUCACUUGUUCGUCAAUUGCACUCGUCGAUGCUGUUCCGUUAAACUAGUAGAGUACUCAGAUAGUAGAGUUUUAUC